rnacentral:lncRNA from 1 species
UACAAAAGCUUUAGCUUCAAACACUCUACCAUCAACAUACACCCCUUUAUAUCUCUCUUUCUAUCUCUCGUCCUCUCCCUGUCUUUGAUGGCUGAGACUAUCAAACUCACAAACAAGGGCCUAAAGUCUAAAUUAAACUUUCAAGUUCAAGUUUCAUCAUCCUAACAUUUUGUUCCAUCCAUUACAAAUGGGCACGAGGAGGUUAGUUCAUGUAGACAAGGACUUUGCUAUUUGCUAUUUGCUUUGACACAUUUGUUUGCACAUCAGGUUGCAUUUUCAAAACUAUGGAACGGU